rnacentral:rRNA from 1 species
CGGAGGAUCCAAGCGUUAUCCGGAAUCAUUGGGUUUAAAGGGUCCGUAGGCGGUUUUGUAAGUCAGUGGUGAAAGCCCAUCGCUCAACGGUGGAACGGCCAUUGAUACUGCAAGACUUGAAUUACUAGGAAGUAACUAGAAUAUGUAGUGUAGCGGUGAAAUGCUUAGAUAUUACAUGGAAUACCAAUUGCGAAGGCAGGUUACUACUAGUGGAUUGACGCUGAUGGACGAAAGCGUGGGGAGCGAACAGGAUUAGAUACCCUGGUAGUCCACGCCGUAAACGAUGGAUACUAGCUGUUCGAGAGCAAUCUUGAGUGGCUAAGCGAAAGUGAUAAGUAUCCCACCUGGGGAGUACGAACGCAAGUUUG